GUCGAGAUGGCCGAGUUGGUCUAAGGCGCCAGGUUAAGGACCUGUUCCGAAAGGGCGUGGGUUCGAAUCCCACUCUCGAUA